ACGUAUAUGUGUUUUAUAGGAAUACGUAUGGAGCCGGUGGCUAGGAAGGACUUUGAGCAGCAGCAUGGUGUGACAGUGACAGAGGUGGGCCUGUUCCUUCAUCCGCAACAGCCAUGGCUUUGUGGAAGCCCCGACGGAAUCUUUUCCCUCUCCGGCGAGACGUGUUUGCUGGAGAUCAGGUGCCCUUACCGAUGCAAGGACAAGGGGAUUUUUGAUGAUUUGGGGAACAGCAUUGUGGAAUAUGUGCAUCAUAUUCAUGGAAAUGCCGCACUGAAGAAGUCACACAGGUAUUACACGCAGGUCCAGAUUUUGAUGUACCUGAUAAAUGCAAAGCUCUGCUAUUUUUUUGUAUAUUCGGGCAAACAAAGCGCGAGCAUCCCUGUUGCUAGGGAUGAUGCCUUCCUGCUAGAAGCUAUACCAACACUUGAGCAAUUUUACUUUGAAUGGAUGUUGCCUGAACUUUUGAAGCGGCAAAGCUUGUAAUAGACCUCUUCCGGGGUACGUCACAGCGUGACGUCACCGCUGCAUGUGCAAUGCGGCGGUUGGCAAAACACUCCCGCCGGUGGCUGAGUGGGGUGCAGUCGCUCGGUGCUUGGGGCAAUUUUUUUUUUUCUUUUUGAAAGCUUAAUCUACAUCUCACAGUGGCAACAUUAGCUGCGGUAUGUGUCAGAGAACAUCUAGGUGUGUGGUAAAGUGCGUGAUGAAAUAUUUGCCACGCUGGCUAGCUGUUUAUCUCGGAGAAGUGAACACACGUGGCGGCCUGUGCGAGGAAGAGCGGCAUCGUCUUCGAAAAUGUGCAGUGUUGACUGUGGCGUGUAGUGUGCGUUGAAAGGCAUCGACAAUAUUGGUUCACCUUUACGGACGGUGAAACUGGGAAUAUUGUGCGUGGUGUGUGCAGUGUUAAUAACGCGAUGUGUCCUGUUGGCGAAAACACUGGUAAUCGUUGUGGGCCGGUUGCAGUAACCGGUUGUCGAUGGAACUUUACGAUCUGACAUUUUAGUCAAGGUAAAAAUGCAUUUGAUGCGAUCAUCUGUGAGUGGGUACAUCUCGGCGUAUGUGCGGCGUGCAGAAAAAUAAAACUGCAUGAUCUUCGGGUGAUA